rnacentral:rRNA from 1 species
UGGGGAUCAAUAUGAGGGCGGGCUGGACCUCUCGGGGUUACAGCCUUGCUGAAUUAUUCACCCUUGUCUUUUGCGUACUUCUUGUUUCCUUGGUGGGUUCGCCCACCACUAGGACAAACAUAAACCUUUUGUAAUUGCAAUCAGCGUCAGUAACAAAUUAAUAAUUACAACUUUCAACAACGGAUCUCUUGGUUCUGGCAUCGAUGAAGAACGCAGCGAAAUGCGAUAAGUAGUGUGAAUUGCAGAAUUCAGUGAAUCAUCGAAUCUUUGAACGCACAUUGCGCCCUUUGGUAUUCCAAAGGGCAUGCCUGUUCGAGCGUCAUUUGUACCCUCAAGCUUUGCUUGGUGUUGGGCGUCUUGUCUCUAGCUUUGCUGGAGACUCGCCUUAAAGUAAUUGGCAGCCGGCCUACUGGUUUCGGAGCGCAGCACAAGUCGCACUCUCUAUCAGCAAAGGUCUAGCAUCCAUUAAGCCUUUUUUUCAACUUUUGACCUCGGAUCAGGUAGGGAUACCCGCUGAACUUAAGCAUAUCAAUAAGCCGGAGGAA